ACCGCGAAGCCUUCAGCGACGUCACAGUGACGCUACAGUGUUUGCAGCUGAGUUGAUUUCUCCUCAGGGUGGAGCCUGGUAACGGCGACUUCUCCACCAUGUUCUGUGUGUUGCUGGCUGGAGAAGGGUAAUUGACAAACUCCGACCCAGCACAGUGUUUCUGUGGGUCAAAACUAGAAAACUAUGUCCGGGCGCCGCCGAGGCGGAAGAAACCCUUCAGGCCAGGAGUUAAAGAGAAGUCUGGUUAACAUGGCGCGACCCCAUCUGUGAAGCCCCACCUCAGCUUCCCAGGUACUUGAACCCCAAGGUUCAAGGCUGCAAUGAGCUAUGAGCCCAUCACAGCACUGCAUCCUGCCAGACUGAGCUCAAGCUCUUGGACUCACUGAGGCAGUAAAAGUACCAUAUCCUGUGUGAAUCAAACCCCGAGUUCCUGUAUGUAGAAGCCUUGCCAGACAGGAUCCCCUUUCAAAGCCCUUCUCGUUUGGAAUUCCAUGACUGGAAAGGAUCCUUCGUGAGAGUAAUGAAAUCAAGUUUGUUGUUAAAAACUUCGCAGUCCCCAAAAAGACCAUGAAGUCCUGAGAGUAAUGAAAAGCUUCCUGACAUUGAAGUCACUGUGGAAGCUGAAUCUACCAUGAAAGAUUUCAGAGUCCAGGAAGAGACUGACUGAGCAACAUCCUAUUCAGUUCUCAGAAAUAGAGAAGAAGAUGUGAUGAUGGAAGAAGAGGUCAGAGAGGGAGAUUUGAAGAUGUUGCAGUUCUGGCCUUCAAGAUGGAGUCGGGGCCAUCUUCAAGGUGAGUCA